GCAUAUCAAUAAGCGGAGGAAAAGAAACCAACAGGGAUUGCCUUAGUUAGCGGCGAAGUGAAGCGGCAAGAAGCUCAAAUUUGAAAUCUGGUAUCUUCGAUGCCCGAGUUGUAAUUUGAAGAAAACAAUCUUGGAAUUGGUCCUUGUCUAUGUUCCUUGGAACAGGACGUCACAGAGGGUGAGAAUCCCGUGCGACAAGGAAUUCUUUUCUUUAUAAGAUGUUUUCGAAGAGUCGAGUUGUUUGGGAAUGCAGCUCUAAGUGGGUGGUAAAUUCCAUCUAAAGCUAAAUAUUGGCGAGAGACCGAUAGCGAACAAGUACUGUGAAGGAAAGAUGAAAAGAACUUUGAAAAGAGAGUGAAAAAGUACGUGAAAUUGUUGAAAGGGAAGGGUAUUCGAUCAGACUGGUAUUUAGUUAUCUUUGCUCCUUGUGGGUGAUGAUCUAACUUUUUACUGGGCCAACAUCAGUUUUGGUGGCAAGAUAAUCGCAGUUGAAUGUGGCUCUUUCGGGAGUGUUAUAGCUUCUGUUGAUGUUGCCUACCGGGACUGAGGUCUGCGGCUUUGCCUAGGAUGUUGGCGUAAUGAUCCAAUACCGCCCGUCUUGAAACAUGGACCAAGGAGUCUAACGUCUAUGCGAGUGUUUGGGUGUAAAACCCGUACGCGUAAUGAAAGUGAACGUAGGUGAGGGCCCUCACGGGUGCAUCAUCGACCGAUCCUGAUGUCUUCGGAUGGAUUUGAGUAAGAGCAUAGCUGUUGGGACCCGAAAGAUGGUGAACUAUGCCUGAAUAGGGUGAAGCCAGAGGAAACUACUGGUGGAGGCUACGUAGCGGUUCUGACGUGCAAAUCGAUACGUCGAAUUUGGGUAAUAGGGGCGAAAGACUAAUCGAACCAUCUAGUAGCUGGUUCCUGCCGAA
rnacentral:rRNA from 1 species